rnacentral:miRNA from 1 species
UUAAAUAAUGAGACGUCACGCC